rnacentral:rRNA from 1 species
AGCAGCCGCGGUAAUUCCAGCUCCAAUAGCGUAUAUUAAAGUUGCUGCAGUUAAAAAGCUCGUAGUUGAAUUUCGGGACCAAUAUGUCGGUCGUGCUUCGGUACGUACUGGCAUCGUUGGUUUCUCCCUUCUGAUGAACCAUGAUGUCAUUCAUUUGGUGUCGUGGGGAAUCAGGACUGUUACUUUGAAAAAUUGAGUGUUUAAAGCAGGCUCACGCUUGAAUACAUUAGCAUGGAAUAAUGAAAUAGGACGUUUGAUUCUAUUUUGUUGGUUUCUAGGAUCAACGUAAUGAUUAAUAGGGAUAGUUGGGGGCAUU